UACGUAGGGUGCGAGCGUUGUCCGGAAUUAUUGGGCGUAAAGAGCUCGUAGGCGGUUUGUCGCGUCUGCCGUGAAAGUCCGGGGCUCAACUCCGGAUCUGCGGUGGGUACGGGCAGACUAGAGUGAUGUAGGGGAGACUGGAAUUCCUGGUGUAGCGGUGAAAUGCGCAGAUAUCAGGAGGAACACCGAUGGCGAAGGCAGGUCUCUGGGCAUUAACUGACGCUGAGGAGCGAAAGCAUGGGGAGCGAAC
rnacentral:rRNA from 1 species